UUUCUAACCAUUUCUGUUCCUUUAUUAUUAUACUUUGGUAUCUUCUUGAUUUAUUUCAUAGAUGUUCUGGUUAGAAAGAUUUUCACUGAAAAGUAUGUGGGCAAAGAAUCAAGAAUAUGAUUUAGAUUCGAAUUUAUUUGUAUUGAAUCAUAGUUCCCUUUUUUUAGCUUUCGAGAAAUAUAAAUAAUUUAUGAAAUAGUCAAGAGCAACCAAAUGCAACUUAGUCUCUAUGGCAAGUUGAAUCUUUAUAUCUAUUGUCUGGUAUUG
rnacentral:misc_RNA from 1 species